GACGAACGCUGGCGGCGUGCUUAACACAUGCAAGUCGAACGGAGUGGCGCACAGGUGAGUAAAGUAUAGCUAAUAUUCCCGACACUAGAGGACAACAGUUGGAAACGGCUGCUAAUACUCUAUAUUGAAGGAUGAGGCUAUAUUGUAUCAGCUAGUUGGUGAGGUAAAUGCUCACCAAGUCUAUGACGCAUAACUGGUCUGAGAGGAUGUGCAGUCACACUGGAACUGAGACACGGUCCAGACUCUUACGGGAGGCAGCAGUAGGGAAGAUUGCUCAAUGGGGGAAACCCUGAAGCAGCAACGCCGCGUGGAGGAUGACACUUUUCGGAGCGUAAACUCCUUUUGUUAGGGAAGCGGUACCUAACGAAUAAGCACCGGCUAACUCCGUGCCAGCAGCCGCGGUAAUAC
rnacentral:rRNA from 1 species